UGGGGAAUUUUGGACAAUGGGCGAAAGCCUGAUCCAGCCAUGCCGCGUGCAGGAUGAAGGCCUUCGGGUUGUAAACUGCUUUUGUAUGGAACGAAAAGACUCCUUCUAAUAAAGGGGGUCCAUGACGGUACCGUAAGAAUAAGCACCGGCUAACUACGUUCCAGCAGCCGCGGUAAUACGUAGGGUGCAAGCGUUAAUCGGAAUUACUGGGCGUAAAGCGUGCGCAGGCGGUUAUAUAAGACAGAUGUGAAAUCCCCGGGCUCAACCUGGGAACUGCAUUUGUGACUGUAUAGCUAGAGUACGGUAGAGGGGGAUGGAAUUCCGCGUGUAGCAGUGAAAUGCGUAGAUAUGCGGAGGAACACCGAUGGCGAAGGCAAUCCCCUGGACCUGUACUGACGCUCAUGCACGAAAGCGUGGGGAGCAAA
rnacentral:rRNA from 1 species